rnacentral:rRNA from 1 species
AUGGUGAGGCUCAACGCCGACCUGAUAUGGAAGAGCCCGCACUUCUUCAACGCCAUCAAGGAGCGCGAGCUCGACCUCCGAGGCAACAAGAUCGCCAUCAUCGAGAACAUCGGCGCCACCGAGGACCAGUUUGACACUAUUGACUUGUCGGACAACGAGAUUGUCAAGCUUGAGAACUUCCCUUUCAUGAAUCGCCUUGGCACUCUGUUAAUCAACAACAACAGAAUUACACGUAUCAAUCCCAACCUUGGUGAGUUUUUACCCAAGAUGCAUACUUUGGUGCUGACGAACAAUCGCCUUACAAGUCUUGCGGAGAUUGACCCCCUGGCCUCUCUUCCAAAGCUGCAAUUUCUCAGCUUACUGGAUAAUACCGUAACUAAGCAACCAGAUUACCGGUUAUAUGUGAUCCACAAACUGAAGCAUCUGCGUUUGCUGGACUUCAAGAAAGUGAAACAACAGGAGAGAGCUGACGCAGCACAAAAGUUCCACUCAAAGGAGGCAGAGGAGGCGGCAAAGAAGGUUGCUGCCAAAGCUUAUACCCCAGUAGUGAUGGAUGCUCAAGGUACCACAAAAGACCAGGGCCCUAAAGUAGUCGCUCCAACGCCUGCACAAAUCACAGCUAUCAAGGCUGCUAUCAUUAACUCGCAGACGCUUGACGAAGUUACAAGGCUUGAGAAGGCAUUGAGCACUGGCCAAGUUCCUGCUGAGUUUGCGCUCCCCAAGCCUGACACCAACAUGGCUGAGGCGUCAGAGGAAGCUGAAGCUGAGAAGAUGGAGACAGAUGGCCAGGACCAGGAGGAGGAUGGGGCUGAUGAGCAGAAGCAAGCAGAUGAAAGCACCCCGAUUCAGGAGGAUUGA